ensembl:snRNA U6 U6 spliceosomal RNA
GUGUUGGCUUCAGCAGUACAUGUAUUAACGAUGGAAUGAUACAAAAAUGAUUAGCAUAGUGCUUGCUCAAGAAUGACAUGCAAAUUUGCAAGGCAUUCAUAUCCCAU